rnacentral:lncRNA from 1 species
GGCCAAUCAGCACUUCCUGAAGCCAAUGUGACCCUACUGUGAUACAAUGCCCAGAGCUGAAGACUGUGUUCUACAUUGAGGAUUCAAAGAUGCCAAGAUGAGGAAAAUGAGGAACAAGUCCACUCAGCUACUAAUUCGUGGAGAACAAGAAUCACGUCCAGUCUGAUUCCAAGAUCUACACUCAUCCUAUCCAUAUUAUGCUGCCUUCUCAGGAUAGCAAGUAGUUUGGCUCCUUAAGUGACACUGGAUAUCUUUUUUAAAGAACCCAUGUGUUUGUUUAUGACAUGACUCAAUCUUGCUGGUGAUCUGGAAGGUCUGGUGCCUACUCAUGGAUUCUUUGAAUAAGCCCCAUGUUCUUGCUACUGAAUAAACAUGAUGUAUACCCCAUGUUAUCAAGAGGAUUCAUAGAUGAACAUGUGCUGGGUGCCUCUAAAGAAAGUAGAUCAACAAGUUUUUUUCUUUUGGUGAAGAGCAGAUGGGCUCAAAAUAAACCUCUGGUUCAUCAUACACGCUCAGACAACCCUCCAGGAAAGGGAGGUUUUUGCCCUCCUUUGCAAGGUCAGUCUCUUUCCAUUUUUUCCCCAAAUCCCCCCUCACCCCCACAGGCACUUCUCUUUUAUAUGUUUAAUUACUUCAUAGCUUUUCNCAGGAAAGGGAGGUUUUUGCCCUCCUUUGCAAGGUCUGUCCUGAGAUGUCAUUGUCCGGGCUUGGGAAGUACAGUCUCUGUCUGCCACACCAGGAAUGCCGUCAGCUUGAGUAUGUUUCUUACGUGCGCAUCACACGCGGUGGUUUGGUCAAUGGCCAGUAUUCCCCUUCCCCUUCCCACCUCCUCAUCAUCCCCACGUCGCCGUGUGUCCCUAGCUGUGUGGAAUCUGGGCCCAGCCUUGAGAACAGCUCUGCCUCUCAGGGGAGAGGCUGAUUGGCUAUGCUCUUCACCCCGAA